GAGCGGCGGACGGGUGAGUAACGCGUGGGUAACCUGCCCUGUACACACGGAUAACAUACCGAAAGGUAUGCUAAUACGAGAUAAUAUGCUUUUAUCGCAUGGUAGAAGUAUCAAAGCUUUUGCGGUACAGGAUGGACCCGCGUCUGAUUAGCUAGUUGGUAAGGUAACGGCCCACCAGGCCGACGAUCAGUAGCCGACCUGAGAGGGUGACCGGCCACAUUGGGACUGAGACACGGCCCAAACUCCUACGGGAGGCAGCAGUGGGGAAUAUUGCACAAUGGGGGAAACCCUGAUGCAGCGACGCCGCGUGAGCGAAGAAGUAUUUCGGUAUGUAAAGCUCUAUCAGCCAGGGAAGAAAAUGACGGUACCUGACUAAGAAGCACCGGCUAAAUACGUGCCAGCAGCCGCGGUAAUACGUAUGGUGCAAGCGUUAUCCGGAUUUACUGGGUGUAAAGGGAGCGUAGACGGAUGGGCAAGUCUGAUGUGAAAACCCGGGGCUCAACCCCGGGACUGCAUUGGAAACUGUUCAUCUAGAGUGCUGGAGAGGUAAGUGGAAUUCCUAGUGUAGCGGUGAAAUGCGUAGAUAUUAGGAGGAACACCAGUGGCGAAGGCGGCCUACCUGGGCUGUAACUGACGUUGAGGCUCGAA
rnacentral:rRNA from 1 species